rnacentral:rRNA from 1 species
AGUGGACGCUGGCGGUAGGCCUAACACAUGCAAGUCGAACGGCAGCACAGGAGAGCUUGCUCUCUGGGUGGCGAGUGGCGGACGGGUGAGGAAUACAUCGGAAUCUACCUUUUCGUGGGGGAUAACGUAGGGAAACUUACGCUAAUACCGCAUACGACCUACGGGUGAAAGUGGGGGACCGCAAGGCCUCACGCGAUUAGAUGAGCCGAUGUCCGAUUAGCUAGUUGGCGGGGUAAUGGCCCACCAAGGCGACGAUCGGUAGCUGGUCUGAGAGGAUGAUCAGCCACACUGGAACUGAGACACGGUCCAGACUCCUACGGGAGGCAGCAGUGGGGGAUAUUGGACAAUGGGCGCAAGCCUGAUCCAGCCAUACCGCGUGGGUGAAGAAGGCCUUCGGGUUGUAAAGCCCUUUUGUUGGGAAAGAAAUCCUGUCGAUUAAUACUCGGUGGGGAUGACGGUACCCAAAGAAUAAGCACCGGCUAACUUCGUGCCAGCCGCCGCGGUAAAAC